AUGCAUUUAGUUAUUUCAUGUAUCGUCAUUCAUUCAUUAAAGAACAUGAGUAACCACCACGCUGCAUUUCGGUCCUCUCUUUCAACAAACGAAGAACGCCGUUACAGAAUCACCCACCCAAACAGGACCAAGCGGCGUGGUAACGGGCAACAGCAACAGCAGCAGCAGGAGAAGGAACAGAGGCAGCAGCAGCAGGAACAGCAACAGCGAGAUCAGGAUUUUGGGACAUGGGAGCAGAAUCUGGACUACACAACUUGGGAGGAGAUAGACAGGUGGGCGGUCGACCCAGGGAGAGUGCCGGAGCCCGCCUGGGAUUCGAUGGAACAGUGCGCGGAAGGUUACAGGAGAAUGAGGUUGGCGAAGCAAGCACGGCGGCGCGGACGGAAGCCCGAGAGUCAGCCCCAAAAAUGUCUUGGGGGGGGGCACAGGGGGAGUGUGGCAGAGUCAGGAGUCAGACCUGAGCCAACUCCCCCCGUUUAUCGUGAGGAGCCAAGGAGGAGCUCAGAUCCAGAGCUGGUGUUGGAGGUGAGCGAAGCAGAGACUGUGAAGGAGUUAAUGGGGAAAUUGGAGGAGAGAGAUAUGAGGGAUUUGCUGGUUUGGUGCAUGAGGCACGACAUUCGCCCGACGGAGCGUGUCAGGGAUUUAAUGGCACCGGGGUCAGCUAUCCAUACUCAUCCUGAGGUGCGUGCGAGGGGUCUGGUGAAGACUGUGCCAGCCUCACGCACCAGGCCUCCUGUGCAUCUCCCUAGCCUUGCACGUCCUGUGCCAUCUCAGCACUACAGUGCUCCUAGCAGUGCUAACUGUGGCGGGCAUGGUGCUGGUCAGGCACCGUGUUAUGCAGUUGUGCGCACGGUGUCCCCAGUACGCGUGCUUAGCCCGGUGCGCUACAUCCCAGCUCCCCACAUCUGCCGGGCUAGGGUGAAGAUCCAGCCAGGGCGAUUGGUGCCAACCCUGCUCUCAAGAUCUCCAGUACGCCUUCACGGCCCGGUCUAUCCGUCACCACCUCCACGCACCAGCCCUCCGGUGGCAGCCCCCCGUACCAGGCUGUCUCUCCGGCCCAUCCUUACAGGGGCUCCCUCCUCUCCAGCGCUGUCGGAGCCUCCCGCCUGUCCGGCGCCGCUGCCGGAGCCUCCCGCCUGUCCGGCGCCGCUGCCGGAGCCUCCCGCCUGUCCGGCGCCGCUGCCGGAGCCUCCCGCCUCUCCGGCGCUACCAGGGCCUUCCUCUUCUCCGGCGCUGCCGGAGUCUCCCGCCUGUUCGGCGCUACGAGAGCUACUCAGUCCAGCGCUGCCGGAGCUUCCCGUCUGCCCAGCGCCAGCUGAGCUUCCCGUCUGCCCAGCGCCAGCUGAGCUUCCCGUCUGCCCAGCGCCAGCUGAGCCUCCCGUCUGCCCAGCGCCGCCAACGCCGCCCGUCUGCCCAGCGGCGCCAGCGCCGUCCGUCUGCCCAGCGCCGCCAGCGCCGCCCGUCUGCCCAGCNNNNNNNNNNNNNNNNNNNNNNNNGUAG
rnacentral:lncRNA from 13 species